CCAAAAAAAAAAAAAAAAAAAAAAAAAAAAAAAAAAAAAAAAAA
rnacentral:ribozyme from 15 species